rnacentral:lncRNA from 1 species
GGAGUACUUAGGCAUGAAGAUCUACAUUCUAUACACCAACAUGAAGCAUUUCAGAAGUGUUACAAUAUAAAUAAGGAGAUAUACUUAAAAUGCAGUCUCAACCUAUGAUUCUAUUUAUAUGGCAUUUUGGAGAAGACAAAUAUAGGGAAAAUAAUCAUAUAAAUAAUGGACUGGAUUGGAGAAGGAGGGAUGAUGUGUAAAAGGGGAACAAGAGACUUUGGAGGGAUGGUGAUGGUUAUGACUUUGCAAAUUUUUCUAAAUGUAUAGACGGUUGGGUUUUUUGACUGUAGAUUACAUAAUUUUUUUUAAAGACACACAAAACCACUAAAAACAGAGCGGAAGGACUGGGGAGUAUUCUCAGUGGAUAAAAGUGUUUGCUGCAUAAGCAUACGGACCUGAGUUCAAAUCCCAAGCACCCACAUAAAACAAUUCAGAUAUGGCUGUGCAUGCUGGUGACCCUAGCACUGAGAUAGGCAUGUCUUGGGAAAUCACUGCCUGGCCAGUCUAGCCAAAAGCCCCAAAUGGCGAGGUUCCCUACGGGAUUCAGUCUCAAAGAAGAAGGCACCCAGGAUCCUUUGGCCUCUGCACACGCGCGUGCAAACACACACACACACAAAAUAUAGACUGGACAGUUUCGAAUCUCUCCUUGAAAGGAUCUGGCUGUUCUAAUCCUAUCAAAUGCUCAAAUGUCUUUCAAAGCAAAAGAAUUGCAGUGGAGGUUCAUCUGCUGGACAGACGGGUCACUAUCGUGAGAAUAUGCACGCCCAAUCUGCCUCUGCCUGCAUGGUGGCUUAGUACAUUUCAGGCAGCCACACUGAAGCAAGAGAACGGGCAGCUUGUGUGUCUACUUUCAUGGGGCCCCAUGUGCAGAUUAGGCAAUUUAGAUUCAUAUCUCAAAUCACGUAAUAGUUAAUUUCAUACAAAUUAUUAGACAAUCAGUAGAACACUGUAAAUGUUAAAUCGUUUCCCAGAGCUCUAAGAAACUUAAAACCACUAUCAAUAAAUUACAAAAGUCAGUCUGCUGUCUAAUCAUAUACAUCUCUCACAGAUAAAAAGUCAAAACACGAGCCAGGGAAAGAUGGUGGCUUUUCGAGCAAGGGCAACAGAGGCACAGUCUCUUUCUUCUUCUCUUCUCUAACAGAAUGUAAAUCUAAAUUCUGCAAUAGAUAAUUGGGCACACAGUUGCCAGCAAC